GAGGAAAAGAAACUAACAAGGAUUCCCCUAGUAACUGCGAGUGAAGCGGGAAGAGCUCAAAUUUAAAAUCUGGCGUGCCUCCGGUCGUCCGAAUUGUAGUCUGAAGAAGCGUUUUCCGCGUUGGACCGUGUAUAAGUCUCUUGGAACAGGGCGUCAUAGAGGGUGAGAAUCCCGUCUUUGACACGGACCGCCAACGCUUUGUGAUGCGCUCUCAAAGAGUCGAGUUGUUUGGGAAUGCAGCUCAAAAUGGGUGGUAAAUUCCAUCUAAAGCUAAAUAUAGGCGAGAGACCGAUAGCGAACAAGUACCGUGAGGGAAAGAUGAAAAGCACUUUGGAAAGAGAGUUAAACAGUACGUGAAAUUGCUGAAAGGGAAACGCUUGAAGUCAGUCGUGUCUGCCAGGACUCAGCCUUGCUUCUGCUCGGUGCACUUUCUGGUUUGAUGGGCCAACAUCAAUUUUGACCGUCGGAGAAAGGCUCGGGGAAUGUGGCACCUUCGGGUGUGUUAUAGCCCUUUGUCAUAUACGGCGGUCGGGAUUGAGGACCGCAGCACGCCUUUACGGCCGGGGUUCGCCCACGUACGUGCUUAGGAUGUUGGCGUAAUGGCUUUAAGCGACCCG
rnacentral:rRNA from 1 species